rnacentral:rRNA from 1 species
UCAUGCCGCGUGAAGGAUGAAGGUCCUCUGGUAUUGUAAACUUCUUUUAUCUGGGCGAAAACUCCCUUUCUAGGGGGCUUGACAGUACCAGAAGAAUAAGCACCGGCUAACUCCGUGCCAGCAGCCGCGGUAAUACGGAGGGUGCAAGCGUUAUCCGGAUUCACUGGGUUUAAAGGGUGCGUAGGCGGGCAGGUAAGUCAGUGGUGAAAUCCCCGAGCUUAACUCGGGAACUGCCGUUGAUACUAUCUGUCUUGAAUACCGUGGAGGUGAGCGGAAUAUGUCAUGUAGC